CUAACACAUGCAAGUCGAACGGCAGCACAGAGGAGCUUGCUCCUUGGGUGGCGAGUGGCGGACGGGUGAGGAAUACGUCGGAAUCUGCCUAUUUGUGGGGGAUAACGUAGGGAAACUUACGCUAAUACCGCAUACGACCUACGGGUGAAAGCGGAGGACCUUCGGGCUUCGCGCAGAUAGAUGAGCCGACGUCGGAUUAGCUAGUUGGCGGGGUAAAGGCCCACCAAGGCGACGAUCCGUAGCUGGUCUGAGAGGAUGAUCAGCCACACUGGAACUGAGACACGGUCCAGACUCCUACGGGAGGCAGCAGUGGGGAAUAUUGGACAAUGGGCGCAAGCCUGAUCCAGCCAUGCCGCGUGUGUGAAGAAGGCCUUCGGGUUGUAAAGCACUUUUGUCCGGAAAGAAAAGCUUCGGGUUAAUACCCCGAGGUCAUGACGGUACCGGAAGAAUAAGCACCGGCUAACUUCGUGCCAGCAGCCGCGGUAAUAC
rnacentral:rRNA from 1 species